rnacentral:rRNA from 1 species
UACGGAAGGGGCAAGCGUUGUUCGGAAUCAUUGGGCGUAAAGGGCGCGUAGGUGGUUCUGUAUGUCUACCGUGAAAGCAUACAGCUCAACUGUAUUUUGUCGGUAGAAACUGCAGGACUUGAGGCUGGGAGGGGCUGGUGGAAUUCCCUGUGUAGCGGUGAAAUGCGUAGAGAUGGGGGAGAACACUCGUGGCGAAGGCGGCUCACUGGCCCGGUACUGACGCUGAGGUGCGAAAGCGUGGGGAGCAAACAGG